AAGGGUAUAUCUCAGUGGUAGAGUAUGUGCUUAGCACACACAAGGUCCUGGGUUCAAUCCCCAGUACCUCCA
rnacentral:tRNA from 1 species